GAUGAACGCUGGCGGCGUGCCUAAUACAUGCAAGUCGAGCGAACAGAUUAGGAGCUUGCUGCUCUGACGUUAGCCGCGGACGGGAGAGUAACACGUGGAUAACCUACCUAUAAGACUGGGAUAACUUCGGGAGACCGGAGCUAAUACCGGAUAAUAUAUUGAACCGCAUGGUUCAAUAGUGAAAGACGGUUUUGCUGUCACUUAUAGCUGGAUCCGCGCCGCAUUAGCUAGUUGGUAAGGUAACGGCUUACCAAGGCAACGAUUGGCAGCCGACCUGGGAGAGUGGUAGCCGACCCGGGAGCGUAACCGGCGACAAGAGGACUAAGAGAGGGCGCAGUAGGGAACCUGCGGCAGUGGGCGAGAGUUUGACGGAGUAAGGCAGAGUGAGAGGUGGCGGUGCUGGGAUCGGAAUGCCGGGUUACGAGUGAUGAACAAAUGUGUGCGGAAAUAUGCCGAUCGUGACGGUACCUGAUGAGAAAGCAACGGCUAACUACGUG
rnacentral:rRNA from 1 species